AGGAAAAGAAACCAACCGGGAUUGCCUUAGUAACGGCGAGUGAAGCGGCAAAAGCUCAAAUUUGAAAUCUGGUACCUUCGGUGCCCGAGUUGUAAUUUGUAGAAGGUAACUUUGGGGCUGGUCCUUGUCUAUGUUCCUUGGAACAGGACGUCAUAGAGGGUGAGAAUCCCGUGUGGCGAGGAUCCCAGUUCUUUGUAAAGUGCUUUCGAAGAGUCGAGUUGUUUGGGAAUGCAGCUCUAAGUGGGUGGUAAAUUCCAUCUAAAGCUAAAUAUUGGCGAGAGACCGAUAGCGAACAAGUACAGUGAUGGAAAGAUGAAAAGAACUUUGAAAAGAGAGUGAAAAAGUACGUGAAAUUGUUGAAAGGGAAGGGCAUUUGAUCAGACAUGGUGUUUUGCGCCCUCUGCUCCUUGUGGGUGGGGGAAUCUCGCAGCUCACUGGGCCAGCAUCGGUUUUGGCGGCAGGAUAAAUCUUCAGGAAUGUAGCUUGCCUCGGUAAGUGUUAUAUCCUGGAGGAAUACUGCCAGCUGGGACUGAGGACUGCGACUUUACGUCAAGGAUGCUGGCAUAAUGGUUAUAUGCCG
rnacentral:rRNA from 2 species